GUGCUCGCUUUGGCAGCACAUAGACUAAAAUCGGAACAAUACAGAGAAGAUUAGCAUGGCCCCUGCAAAGGAUAACACACAAAUUCACGAAGAGUUCCAUAUGUAU
ensembl:snRNA U6 U6 spliceosomal RNA